AUUGAACGCUGGCGGAAUGCUUUACACAUGCAAGUCGAACGGCAGCAUAGGUGCUUGCACCUGAUGGCGAGUAGCGAACGGGUGAGUAAUACAUCGGAACGUGCCCAGUCGUGGGGGAUAACGUAGCGAAAGUUACGCUAAUACCGCAUACGAUCUAAGGAUGAAAGCGGGGGACCGUAAGGCCUCGCGCGAUUGGAGCGGCCGAUGUCAGAUUAGGUAGUUGGUGAGGUAAAGGCUCACCAAGCCGACGAUCUGUAGCUGGUCUGAGAGGACGACCAGCCAACCGGGGACUGAGACACGGCCCAGACUCCUACGGGCGGCAGCAGUGGGGAAAUUUGGACAAUGGACGCAAGUCUGAUCCAGCCAUUCCGCGUGCAGGACGAAGGCCUUCGGGUUGUAAACUGCUUUUGUACGGAACGAAAAAGCUCUUACUAAUACUAGGAGUCCAUGACGGUACCGUAAGAAUAAGCACCGGCUAACUACGUGCCAGCCGCCGCAGUAA
rnacentral:rRNA from 1 species